AACGGCCGUAUCAUGCUGAAUAUACCGGUUCUCGUUAGAUCACCGAAGUUAAGCAUCAUUGAGCGCGGUCAGUACUUGGGUGGGUGACCACCUGGGAACACUGCGUGCCGUU
rnacentral:rRNA from 1 species